UUGUUGGGUAGGGGAGCGUUCUGUAAGCCUGUGAAGGUGUGCUGUGAGGCAUGCUGGAGGUAUCAGAAGUGCGAAUGCUGACAUAAGUAACGAUAAAGCGGGUGAAAAGCCCGCUCGCCGGAAGACCAAGGGUUCCUGUCCAACGUUAAUCGGGGCAGGGUGAGUCGACCCCUAAGGCGAGGCCGAAAGGCGUAGUCGAUGGGAAACAGGUUAAUAUUCCUGUACUUGGUGUUACUGCGAAGGGGGGACGGAGAAGGCUAUGUUGGCCGGGCGACGGUUGUCCCGGUUUAAGCGUGUAGGCUGGUUUUCCAGGCAAAUCCGGAAAAUCAAGGCUGAGGCGUGAUGACGAGGCACUACGGUGCUGAAGCAACAAAUGCCCUGCUUCCAGGAAAAGCCUCUAAGCAUCAGGUAACAUCAAAUCGUACCCCAAACCGACACAGGUGGUCAGGUAGAGAAUACCAAGGCGCUUGAGAGAACUCGGGUGAAGGAACUAGGCAAAAUGGUGCCGUAACUUCGGGAGAAGG
rnacentral:rRNA from 1 species